AAUGCACUGUAUCACUGUGCUAUUGCACUGAUAGACACAAGCAACUGAAGUUGCUGUAAUCCCGAGGAACAAAAAUAUUUCUGGAGGUACAUAAUAAAGAACUGCAGAUGCUUGUUUAUACCAAAAUAUCUUGCAAAGAUACUAUCCCCUACUCUCAAUUCCUUUGUCUCCACCGCAUCUGUUCCCAAGAUGAGGUUUUUCAUGCAAGGUCUUCUGAGAUGUCCUUAUUCUUUCGUGAACUUGGUUCUCCUCUCUUCUCCUUCUCUCGCACGUGUCUCUUCUGCAUCCCAUAGUUCUCAUCUCACUACCUCUCCCCCCAGGCGCAACAAAGGCAGUUCCCUGAUCCUGACCUUUCACCCCCACAUCCAACAUUUCAAUCACCUCCAAUGUGAUCCCACCACUAAUCACAUCUUGCCAUCUAUACCCCUUUCCACCUUCCGCAGAGACUAUUCUUUCUGCAACUCCGUGGUUCACUCUCAACCCCUUGGUUGGCAAGGAAUGUGAAGAUGUUAUAUCACCAUUUUUUUGGUUGCAGUCAUUACAGGGUUGGCACAAUGCAUCUAUGGUGACCUGCUGAUGAAAGCAUUGAAUUUUAAGCCUUGUAUGUUGCUGCUUUGUCCUGGAUGGUACUGAGCCUCUUGAGUAUUAUUGGACGUGCAUUGAUCUAUCCAAAUAUAAAGUAUACAUCAUACUCUUGAUUUGCGCUUUAUAGACAAUAGGAAUCAUUUGAGAUGUAAGCUAUAUAUGAUAAUUUUCACAUAAUACUCUUUGAUCACUUCUGGCCAUAGUAUUUUUGUGCCAAAUCUAGCUAAGCUUCUGUUUAAUGGUGAUAAAGCAGGUUUUAGUGACAAUACAAUUAAAUGUCACACAGUGAUGGGUAGAAUUCUCUUGUUGGAGAUGUUCAUUGGUGGGUAUCUUUGGAGCAUUAAUAUAUUAUUUAAUAAUAUGAAGCUUUUUUUUAACAUAGAAAGUGGUUGAUAUCUGGAAUUCCUUGUCAGAGGAGGAGAUGAAGUUGCAUACAAUUACAAUCAAUAAGAGACAGGUACUGGUACUUAAAUAAGGGCAUAGGAUUAGGAUACAGACUAAAUGUGGGCAAAUAGGAUUAGGGAAGAUAGGCAAAAAGUUACCUUGGACCUGGUAGGCUGAAGGGCCCACUUCUGUGCUGAACAACCCUAUAAUCUAUGAGACUUAACAAGUAAAACAAGUUUUUUUGUGUGUUACCUCUGAGUUUGUUAAUAUUUUUUUAUUGUGUGCCCUGUCAUUAUAGGCUCAUCACCUGUUGGAAAUAAUUUCUCUCUUUAAUUUGUUUAUGAUUUUUAACAGUAUAAAAUUUUCUCAUUACCAUGUAAUUUCAAACGUGCCUAGAAUUUUAAUCGGACUGUGUAAUGAUGAGACAUUUUAUUGCAUUUACAAAAUUUAUUUUGUACCUCCGCCAAAGCAUUUGUAUCCUUUGUAAUAUUUGUGCCUGCAGAAAUAGCUGAAUUAUUACUCCGACAUCCUUAACUCCAUACAGUUUUAACUCAAUUUCCUGUUUUUCCUUCGCGUGGCUUUGUUAUAAAACUAGGACUCCUAUAUGUUUCAUUAACUGCAAUGUUAACCUGACCCCAUCAAAGAUUUGGACACACGCCUCAGUUUCCUCGAUCAUUAAACAAAAUGAAAAAUUGCGUGAAAAAAUUCUGAGGUUUGGCAGCAUCUAUGGAGAGAGAAUCAGUUAAUAUUUUGGGUGGAUCACCUUCCAUCAUUGCUGGCGAAAGUUGUAAAUAAACAGAUUUGAAGAUGCCAAAGAGUAGGAAAGAACAACAAGGAUGAUCUGUGAGACUGGAAGGCCGGGAAAACUAUUUAAAAAAAUAGAGAUAGUGCAUUGCUUUUAAUGGGAUAAUAAGGAAACAACAUGCCACCCUUGUCAUUGUGGAAAGCAAAGUCGUCAUUUAAAAUGUAUUUGCAGCAUUUUGCUUUGGAGAAAUUUAACAAUGACAUGUGGUAACAAAAUAAACCCUGAAAUCUUAUGUCAUUAAAAGCAUAAAACAGUGGCCUUGUUCAUAAGCCCCUAAACUAUCUCUAAUCUGAACAAAGUCUUAAGGCUGAUUUUUGUUGUUCUGUUUUUAAUCAUCUACUCAAAUCUAUUCUUUCUGCUUCCCUAUCACACAUCUUCUAGAAAAAUACUCUCUACUCUUCCAACUCUUUCUCUCCUCAUGCACCCCCAUCUCUUGUUUUGUUCCUCUCCGCCAACAACCCUUAUCGCCAGCUUUCUAUUUCCAUGAGUUUGUUUUCUCACUUCUGAAUCGCCACACCACAUUUUAUCCUAAUCUCCCUUGAUCACUGACAAUGACAUCCACACUUGUUGGUUAAGCUAGUGUGAAGAAGGGUCUCGACCUGAAACAUCACCCAUUCCUUCUCUCCAGAGAUGCUGCCUGUCCAGCUGAGCUACUCCAGCUUUUUGUGUCUAAGCUAUUAUACCUACUCUCUUGUGCUUUGCUGACCUUCAUUUUCAGAUUAUUAUCAGGUUAAGUGUGCUAAUACAUUCAGAGUUACUGCCAGCAGAUAAGAAAGUUGACUAGUUGAGAGCAAUUGUGAUGCGUUACAUUGGGGAAUAAGAUUCAAUUUAGUCACAUUUAAUAAACAGUUACCAAAUUGGGUAGUGAGGCCUAACCCUUUAAAAGAGACUAUCGGAGAGAAACCACUGGACGAAUUGAAUUUUGUUAUCGUUUUACUAUUAUUUCCCCCAAGGCAAAUAUUAGAUGGCAAUCUGCAAUACAGAAACCUGAAACAGUUUGUAUGCAUUUACCAAUCAUCAUUAUUGUCUGGAUCUGACAGCCAAGGAUUAUAAGCCUUUUGGGUAUUUAAUUUAUUGCAGUUCUGAAGUUGCAGUUCUUCAGAAACCCAUCGGCAGUUUAUUUUCAUUAUUUUAAUGUUUUGUUUGUAAGAAAAAGUCGAAUGAAUCGAAACGAUUUUUGAUUGUCUGCCAAAUUAGAAUUGUCUUUCUUUUCACAUUCAGAGUAGCUUUUCCACUUGAUUUUCUUUCUGACCAUGCACACUUUGGGGUGUUAUACUGUUAAUCUAUUCAUGCUUCAAUGCUCUUGCUGCCUCUUCUCAACCCAGAAAAUUGGCCUGGUAUAUAGCAGAUUUUGGGAAGAUCGACAAGCCACUUAGGAAACAGUUUUUCUUACAGGAGUAUCUCAGUUGAUUUUCCACAGGAUUAUGGUAAUACCCUAUUAUUUGUCAACGUUAAAUUUCUUUCAAUGAAUGCAGGUGAAGUAGUGCAGAAUUUAGCCUUUCAAAAAUAAUGAAGUAUUCUGAGCAAAAAGACGUCUUUUGAAUAAAAUAUUAAAAUAGGUGC